AUCAUCUAAGAUAAACAAAAGAUGAUUUCAAAGGCAAUUUUCGUAUGCAUAUUCGUGUUCUCCUUCUUUGCUCUACAUCAAUGCAACCAAAUGGAAGUUGGAGAAAUAGAGAGCAAACUCGUUAUUCCAAAAUGUAUCCAUAGAAGAUGUUCAGAUCAAGGCUUUUUCCAAAGAGAUUGUUGGUGCUGUAUGAAAGAUCGAACGCUCCCUUGUUUCAAAGAACAAAGCGAUUGCGAUUCAGAUAGGCAUUGUCCUCCUAUACAAUUAAGACUUUAGAAAAUCAAUGUAAUAUUAUUAUGUUUCCAAAUCUAUAUAAAUGCCAUUGUCCAAACAA